CAGCAGUGGGGAAUUUUGGACAAUGGGGGAAACCCUGAUCCAGCCAUCCCGCGUGUGCGAUGAAGGCCUUCGGGUUGUAAAGCACUUUUGGCAGGAAAGAAACGUCAUGGGUUAAUACCCCGUGAAACUGACGGUACCUGCAGAAUAAGCACCGGCUAACUACGUGCCAGCAGCCGCGGUAAUACGUAGGGUGCAAGCGUUAAUCGGAAUUACUGGGCGUAAAGCGUGCGCAGGCGGUUUUGUAAGACAGGCGUGAAAUCCCCGGGCUUAACCUGGGAAUUGCGCUUGUGACUGCAAGGCUAGAGUGCGUCAGAGGGGGGUAGAAUUCCACGUGUAGCAGUGAAAUGCGUAGAGAUGUGGAGGAAUACCGAUGGCGAAGGCAGCCCCCUGGAACGUGACUGACGCUCAUGCACGAAAGCGUGGGGAGCAAACAGGAUUAGAUACCCUGGUAGUCCACGCCCUAAACGAUGUCAACUAGUUGUUGGGGAUUCAUUUUCUCAGUAACGUAGCUAACGCGUGAAGUUGACCGCCUGGGGAGUACGGUCGCAAGAUUAAAACUCAAAGGAAUUGACGG
rnacentral:rRNA from 1 species